rnacentral:misc_RNA from 1 species
AACCGUACAUCUUAGAUUUGCUACCUCUCCGGAAACGGAGGGGCCCAUCUCUAAACCCUGUGUUAACGUACCUUUGUUGCUUUGGCAGGCCGCGGCCUCCGCGGCGGGCUCACGCUCGCCUGCGCCUGCCAGAGGACCCAACUCUUGAUUUUAGUGAUGUCUGAGUACUAUUAAAUAGUUAAAACUUUCAACAACGGAUCUCUUGGUUCUGGCAUCGAUGAAGAACGCAGCGAAAUGCGAUAAGUAAUGUGAAUUGCAGAAUUCAGUGAAUCAUCGAAUCUUUGAACGCACAUUGCGCCCGCUGGUAUUCCGGCGGGCAUGCCUGUUCGAGCGUCAUUAUGACCAACUCACGCUCCGCGUGGUCUUGGGGCCCGCUGCUUCGGCGGCCCCUAAACGCAGUGGCGGUGCCGUGCGGCUCUCAGCGUAGUAAUUCUUCUCGCUACAGGGUCCGGACGGUGCUGGCCAGCAACCCCAACUAUACUAGGUUGACCUCGGAUCAGGUAGGGAUACCCGCUUGAACUUAAGCAUAUCAAUUAAAGCGGAG